AAUUUUGGACAAUGGGCGCAAGCCUGAUCCAGCCAUGCCGCGAGAGUGAAGAAGGAAUUAGGGUUGUAAAGCACUUUCGGACGAAAAAAAAUCGCGCAGACUAAUACACUGCGAGGAUGUCGAUACCGUCAUAAGAAGCACCGGCUAACUACGUGCCAGCAGCCGCGGUAAUACGUAGAGUGCGAGCGUUAAUCGGAAUUACUGGGCGUAAAGCGUGCGCAGGCGGUUGAUUAAGACAGGCGUGAAAUCCCCGGGCUUAACCUGGGAACUGCGCUUGUGACUGGUCAGCUAGAGUACGGCAGAGGGGGGUGGAAUUCCACGUGUAGCAGUGAAAUGCGUAGAGAUGUGGAGGAACACCGAUGGCGAAGGCAGCCCCCUGGGCCGAUACUGACGCUCAUGCACGAAAGCGUGGGUAGCAAACAGG
rnacentral:rRNA from 1 species